GUUGAGCCACAAGGAGUUUAGGUCCCUCUUCACAGCACAGAGAGCCACCGGUGAGGCCUUUCAGCAAGGAGCCACUUGAUCAUGGUGCUUCCUGAAGUCUGCUAGAACCUCAGCGUGCCAGCCCUGGAGGUCAGAGAGGACACAGCAGGGACCAGAGAGGUGUCGGGGUGCCGGAAAACUCUGUUCACGCUGGAACAACACUGGUUUCUGUGCCACUGGGCGUAAGCAGAGCAGAGCUUGCCAAGUUAGCCCCCAGGUCUCUUUCUCCUGCAAACACGGCCCUGGUCUAGACAGAAGAACUGUAUCAGCCAAUUACCAGCCCCUGGAAAAGAGCCUCAGCCCGACAUGUGGGGACGAAGCCAAGAGUCGUAGUCUGGCCCCUAGACAGAACAGCACAGCCACGCAUCCCUUCCACUCUCUGUGUGGAGCAGUCCCACGAAAACAAACUGUGAGGACUGAGGUGGGAGCAGGGAGUUCCUCAAGGAAAAUGGAGUGAUUUGUCCAAGAAGCAAGCUCAGCUAACAUACAAGAAACUCCUGUGAUGUCCGCCUGCACCCAAGCCCACCAUCCAACUCCACACCACCGUGAUUGCACCUGCCCUGAACUUCAGUCUCCCCACCUUGGGCAUCUUCCAGGGAGCCCUGAAUGAUUUCAACUUUAAAAGAGAACAGAGCUUCAUUGGAGAGACGGUUUGGAGGGCAAAGGUGCUUUCUGCACAGUGUGACCACCUGACUGUGGUCCUCAAAACCCCCAGAGAGAUGGAAGUAGGGAACUGACUCCAUAAAAUUGUCCUCUGACCUCCACAUACUCACUGUGGCACACAUGUGCCCACUCACCCACACAUAUCAGACACUCACAUAAGCACAAACACACAUGAAGCAUUAAAAUUAAUAAUAAUAAUAAUAAAUACCUCCAUGCCACUCACUUCCAGCCCAUAAAAUCCAAGGUAGAAGAAACUCAAUAGCUUCUUGCUCUGAGCCUAUUAUAACUCACCUGCUCAAGUCUCCUUCCCAUCACUCAGUUGACAAGCAUCCCAGCGAGGCAAUACCGUGUGCUGCUCUUCCAGCACAGCUUCGAGUCUCUCUCCCUGGAGGGCUUCUUUAGCCAGAGUUGCUCCAUUUGCUGGGAGUGCUCACCUCUCACUGUCUACUCCCCAUACCAGAACCCAGCUCGGCACACUGACUACUUCCUCAGGAGCACUCCAUGCCACUGUGGCCAUACCGACCACAUCUCAGUCCAGCUGGUCCCACGGCUGAUGACACUAGCCCAUGAUGCAGCUCAUCUGAGAAUGUGAGCUCCUAGGUAAGAGAGGAUUGGAAACAUUGGAAUCAUGGAUGGGAACACCCUCAGCCCACGAGCCAGUCUCCAUAGAUCAGGACCCUUUGAACUUCAAGAAUCUCAAUUUGAACCUCUUGAUUGCUGUGGUGGCUUGAAUACACUUGGCCCAGGUAGUGGCAGUAUUAGGAGAUGUGGCCUUGUUGGAGCGGGUGUGGCUUUGUUAGAGGAAGUGAGUCACUGUAGUGGUGGGAUUUGAGACCUUCCUCCUAACCAUGUGGAAGCCAGUCUUCACCUAAUGGCCUUCAGAUGAGGAUGUAGAACUCUCACCUCCUCCUGCACCAUGUCUGCUGGAUGCUGCCAUGUUCCUGCCUUGAUGAUAAUGAACUGAGCCUCUGAACCUAUAAGCCAGCCCCGAUUAAAUAUUGUCCUUAUAAGAGUUGUCUUGAUCAUGGUGUUUGUUCACAGCAGUAAAACCUUAAGACAAUUGCAAAGGUGUUUGGAUCUGUCAAGAGUAUGAACAGAGCUGCCUCUUUGAUUAUUCUUUCUUCCCCUUCUUCCCCCAUCUUAUUUCUACCUUUUUUUUUUUGACAAAGAGUUUCAUUUGUUCCUGGUGCCAAAACUUCCUUUACAAAGAUGAAGAAGGUGGCAUCCCCCUUAUGUAGACUAGACAGGCCUUGAACUUCCACUGCUCCUAGCUUUGCACUGAGCACUGGGUGACAAGCAUGUAUCUCCACACCAGCUUGGAAGUGUAUUUUCUCUAGUACUGUGGGGCCAAAGUUCAGGGAGGAUUCAUUUAGCAUCAUUGGCCACAGAUCUUCCUAAGCCAAUUACUGCGGGCUGAGGAAUAGGGUCACAUGGCCACAGCAGGAUCAGCCCCACAUCAGAACUGCAGGAAGGCCACGAAACAGUGGUGUACUGCUAAAGGACAAGAAAGAAGGAGAAGAAAAGAGCCAUUACCAGAGGACCCUCCUGACACCUGAGCCUGACCUGGGGCUGUCAUCUCUGGUGGCUUGUGAGCCCUGUUCUGGUUGACAUUGCAGACUGAGAACUCCCCAAUCAAAGCAACUUUGGUUGUUGGGCUCCUGUGUUCUGGGUACUGCUGUGGAACUCGUUCAGUCUCAUGACAGCCCUUAAGCCAUCCCUUUAUCUGGCUUUCAUUAGAGCCUGGGCCGCGCCUCUUUUGUGGGAGAGACUUGAGGGAGCCGAGGCAGUUUCCCGCCGCUGUGAUGUUGCUAAAGAUUAAAAAGGAGCUUUGAAGCUGCACCAGCGCUGCCUGCGCCCCCUCGGAACAGGACCUCAGAAAGACCCGCGCCAUCUGGCAAACCUGACAUAAAGACAAAAUAAAGUGAUUGAAACAGUCUCUUCAAAGCCACAAUGGCAGAUUUGUUGAUUUGGGCGUUAUCUUUCAUGCGAGGCCCUCAGAAGUCACCAGAACACCUAGAUAACCUCAGGCAGGCCUGACUGGAGUGGAUAGAGCCUUCCAGGCUGAAGCUUGCCGAGAGAGAGGACUGGCUGGAACUGGUGGGGGCUGAGAGACGGACUGAUGGCCACCGGAGGUGGCUUUGGGUCACUCAACAAUUGAAUGUAGAGGGUUCAAUCACUGGGACUCUGCCUCACCUGUGUGUUCCCGUGUUCCCUCAGGAAGAGCACCGGAUGCUGGUGGAAGUAGAGCCCCCGUGGGAAGCUGAUACGGGGAUGCAUGUGGAGAGGGCAAGAGAUGGAAAGGCCUUACCCUGGUUGCAGCUGACAGCCUGUUAGUGGUGCCAUGACACUGUUGUCAGUGACAAUCCUGGCUGGGCAGGUGCUUCCAGGCUAGGUCCCACCAGACAAUCUCAGCCAACUGAGCCCAGCAAGUUACUACUGACCUCUAAUAACACCCACCAUGGCUGGAAUUUGGCUCACUGUGUGCGUGAGCCUGGGCUCCUUCAUUGGAGAAACUGCUGUCAUGAUCGGACCCUUACAUUCUGUUAGGUGGCAGUGUUGAGCCUACAGCUCCCAGUCUUGAACCAAGAAUGUUCUGUUGAGCUAAUGGGGUGGCUUAUACCUGUGAGCCCAGUGCUUCAGGGGUGGAGUUAGAAGAAUCAAUGGUUCAAGGUCCCUCCCAACUACACAGCAAUCUUGGACUACAAAAGACCGGCUCUCAAAAAAAAAAACAAAAAACAAAAAACAAAAAACAACAACAACAACAAAAAGCAAAUGAACAAACUGCCUUGGACAGCAGUCUGGAGAGGGCAACACAAACACCAACUGAAUAGACUGAGCUUCAGCCCAAGGGCUUAGGGUGACACCCCACAUCCCCACCACCCAUGCAACUUCUCCUAGUAAGAAGAUGCACGGGCUGGAAUGGGAAGAAAAGAAUGGUAAGGGGGCUCAGCAAGCACUAUUAAGGGGCUCAAGUGGAGUGUGGGGAGCAGAACAGCUGGCCCUCCAUUCCCGCCACCUGACCACCGUGACUAGUUCAGCUUCGUCUCCACACAAGGCACCCAAUUCAACCCCUGCCUUUAUUUUAAGGCCUUGCUAACCAAACGCGUGCACAACUUAGAAGGUAGGAUGGCUGGAGGCCUCCA
rnacentral:lncRNA from 1 species